rfam:Rattus norvegicus chromosome 18, whole genome shotgun sequence.
GGGGAUUUAGCUCUGUGGUAGAGCGCUUGCCUAGGAAGCAUAGGCCCUGGGUUCGGUCCCCAGCUCCG